CCGAUCCAGGGCAAGCCCAGUGGCACGAAAGCGCCCGUGGUUUCCAGAAGGAAUCCGGCGCAGGCGUGCCCAGCGCUCAAACCCCGAAUAGCAAUAUAUCCCUUUCGUCUCGCGCACCCCCUCCUCCCCUCCCGAUCACCCCGUGCGUCGCCGUGCAUCUUCCCCGUCCGCUCGUCGCGUCGCCGUCCGCUUCCUCCUCCUCGCCGUCUCGGCCGCCAUCCGCCGGCGUCGCGUCCCUACAGACAGACCGGAGAAGGUAGGGUGGUCCGCUGUGAUGGCGCGCGUGUACGUCGGGAGCCUGGACCCUGCUGUGACGGCCCGGGAGCUCGAGGACGAGUUCCGCGUGUUCGGGGUUCUGCGGAGCAGUGUAUGGGUUGCAAGGAAGCCACCUGGUUUUGCAUUUGUUGAUUUUGAUGACAGGAGGGAUGCUCAGGAUGCAAUUAAAGAUUUAGAUGGCAAGAAUGGUUGGAGAGUUGAGCUGUCUCGUAAUGCCAGCAGUGGUCGUGGUGGUCGUGAUCGAUCUGGUGGAUCUGAGAUGAAGUGUUAUGAGUGUGGUGAGUCUGGUCACUUUGCCCGUGAAUGCCGUCUGAGGAUUGGUUCUGGGGGCCUAGGCAGUGGAAGGCGUCGCAGCAGGAGUCGAAGCCGUAGCCGCAGUCGGAGCCCUAGGUACCGCAGGAGUCCAAGCUAUAGCAGAAGAAGCUACAGCCGCUCUCCAAGGCGUCGUAGUGUGUCACCGGCUCGUGGGCGCAAUGUGAGCAGGUCACCAGUCCGUGGACGUGACGAAUCUCCUGCCUAUGGCAAUGGGUAUCGUCGCAGCAGGAGCUAGAGCUGUACGUUAUGUCUGGAGAGUGUUCUGUUGCAAAUAUUGCUCUAUACCCGUCAGCUAUGAACAGUGUCAUGUCCCCCAUUUGAAACAUCCUCCAUCGACUGCUUGAGUUUGGCAUCGUCCUGCACUGCGUAAAAGCGUCGGCUGGCUACGGCUUUCAGUUAUGUCUUCAUGGUUUUGCUCUUCGCUCUUCGUUCAUCCCUCGCCCUCGCCUGCUCCAUGCAAACUUAGUAUUAGUUCCUGCAGACGACCCCUCUGCGUCGCGUGUUCUUCGUUGAAGAUACUGCUCGUCAAAAAGCAGUAACGACCUUUCAUCUUUUGCAAAUUGGUAAGGUUUGAUUGUGCUUAUAAAUGCAGCUUCUGGAAGUAUUAGAAGCGCAAAUUUCUUUGUAGGAUGAGUCUCCAGAAGCUGCAUCUGCUUGCUUCUCUGGGACUGAUGGCAAGGUAUUUAGUUGAAUGGCCUGCACCCUUGCCUCCGAGCCCCAUGCCAGGUGAUGAGGUCAUCUGAGGGGCAAUUAUACCUGGGUAAGUAUUGCAGGAGGUGCAAGCCUGUCUAGACUGCGACGCAGAGUUCGGCAGUUGGCGUCGUUCUGCAUGCUCUUCGUUCUCAACUUAUCCCCGACAUGCUGCCUGAUGUUCUUCUCCACAUUCUGCUUUCUUCACUGCGCAUACGAUUGAGCUCCUUGGUAGCUUAUAUCUUCCAGUCACAUUCUGUUGCUGUUGGAUGCAACAUAUUCGUCAAUAGGUUUAUUCUAAUAAUUUGGUUGAGCCUGCACUUGUGAACCUGAAUUUUCAGAUCCUAGAUUGUUCUGACAUUGAAGUGUCAGACAUGUUAUAUAACCUUGAUCUGCUUUCUGUUCUCAAA